rnacentral:ncRNA from 1 species
ACAAGAGUGAAGAAGAGACUAGUACCCAUUCAUUUCAGCCUUAGAGAGACGGUGUCGUGGUGCAAACCGUCCUGAAAUAGUGGGGAAUCCACCUCGGAGCUACACACGAUUAAGUGUGCUCGGUCUUUUGGCCGUUAUCUCAAUCAAGUGGAUGUCGUAUUUACGAUGUCAAUUAGGGUGGCAACGCGGAACCUUUCGUCCCUGGA